rnacentral:rRNA from 1 species
GUGGGGAAUAUUGGACAAUGGGCGCAAGCCUGAUCCAGCCAUGCCGCGUGAGUGAUGACGGCCUUAGGGUUGUAAAGCUCUUUUACCUGGGAAGAUAAUGACGGUACCAGGAGAAUAAGCCCCGGCUAACUUCGUGCCAGCAGCCGCGGUAAUACGAAGGGGGCUAGCGUUGUUCGGAUUUACUGGGCGUAAAGGGCGCGUAGGCGGGCGAAUAAGUCAGGGGUGAAAUCCCAAGGCUCAACCUUGGAACUGCCUUUGAUACUGUUUGUCUUGAGUUCGAGAGAGGUAAGUGGAACUGCGAGUGUAGAGGUGAAAUUCGUAGAUAUUCGCAAGAACACCAGUGGCGAAGGCGGCUUACUGGCUCGAAACUGACGCUGAGGCGCGAAAGCGUGGGGAGCAAACAGGAUUAGAUACCCCGGUAGUCC